GACGAACGCUGGCGGCGUGCUUAACACAUGCAAGUCGAACGGAAAGGCCCUGCUUGCAGGGUACUCGAGUGGCGAACGGGUGAGUAACACGUGGGUGAUCUGCCCUGCACUUCGGGAUAAGCCUGGGAAACUGGGUCUAAUACCGGAUAUGACCUUCCAUGUAGUGUGGGGGGUGGAAAGAUUUAUCGGUGUGGGAUGAGCCCGCGGCCUAUCAGCUGGUUGGUGGGGUAAUGGCCUACCAAGGCGUCGACGGGUAGCCGGCCUGAGAGGGUGGACGGCCACAUUGGGACUGAGAUACGGCCCAGACUCCUACGGGAGGCAGCAGUGGGGAAUAUUGCACAAUGGGCGGAAGCCUGAUGCAGCGACGCCGCGUGGGGGAUGACGGCCUUCGGGUUGUAAACCUCUUUCGACAGGGACGAAGCUUCGGUGACGGUACCUGUAGAAGAAGCACCGGCUAACUACGUG
rnacentral:rRNA from 1 species